rnacentral:lncRNA from 1 species
UGUGAUUCACUCUCCGCCGCCGAUGAACGACAUUAUCAUCAUUCUGUGGAAAUGCAGUCCUACUAAAUGCAACACACGCUCUCGGCAACUCAGGCUACACUACUGCAUCUUCCAUUACAUUGAUUAUGUACGAUCACUUGCUCCAAUGGAUUAAACUCAUGAACGUCUCAGGCUUCACUAUAUUUGGGUAGAUGGAGCAAAAGCAAGGAAGAAAAUGAAGAGGCAAAAUAGAUUUUCAUAAGCG